rnacentral:rRNA from 1 species
GUGGGGAAUUUUGGACAAUGGGCGCAAGCCUGAUCCAGCAAUGCCGCGUGCAGGAAGAAGGCCUUCGGGUUAUAAACUGCUUUUGUACGGAACGAAACGGUCUUGGUUAAUACCUGGGGCUAAUGACGGUACCGUAAGAAUAAGCACCGGCUAACUACGUGCCAGCAGCCGCGGUAAUACGUAGGGUGCAAGCGUUAAUCGGAAUUACUGGGCGUAAAGCGUGCGCAGGCGGUUUUGUAAGACAGGCGUGAGAUCCCCGGGCUCAACCUGGGAAUUGCGCUUGUGACUGCAAGGCUGGAGUGCGGCAGAGGGGGAUGGAAUUCCGCGUGUAGCAGUGAAAUGCGUAGAUAUGCGGAGGAACACCGAUGGCGAAGGCAAUCCCCUGGGCCUGCACUGACGCUCAUGCACGAAAGCGUGGGGAGCAAACAGGAUUAGAUACCCGGGUAGUCC